rnacentral:rRNA from 1 species
UACGUAUGGUGCAAGCGUUAUCCGGAUUUACUGGGUGUAAAGGGAGCGUAGGCGGCCGUGCGAGUCAGGCGUGAAAGCCCGGGGCUCAACUCCGGGACUGCGCUUGAAACUGCGUGGCUGGAGUACAGGAGAGGCAGGCGGAAUUCCUAGUGUAGCGGUGAAAUGCGUAGACAUUAGGAUGAACACCGGUGGCGAAGGCGGCCUGCUGGACUGGAUACUGACGCUGAGGCUCGAAAGCGUGGGGAGCAAA